AGAAAUAUGUCUGAUAAUAGAGUUACUUUGAUAGAGUAAAUCAUAGAGGUUUAAAUCCUCUUAUUUCUA
rnacentral:tRNA from 5 species